rnacentral:rRNA from 1 species
AUGUGGUAUCUCCGUAGGGGAGUUGUGCUAACAAAAGACAACCUCGCACGACGCAACUGGUCGGGAAGUAAGAAGUGUUUUUGUACUCAUGACGAGACAAUUAAACACCUCUUUUUUCACUGUAAGUUUGCGCGUUCUACGUGGUCAGCCAUCCAAAUAGCGUCAAAUUUGUAUCCGCCCACAAGUGUUGCCAAUAGUUUUGGUCAUUGGCUGGACGGUAUUUCAAAUAGGUACAAAACGCUAAUAAGGGUGGGAGCGUAUGCCUUACUAUGGUCGCUUUGGCUAUGUAGAAAUGAUGUUGUUUUUAAUGACAAAACUGUUUCUCCUUUGUAGGUUAUUUUCCGUUGUACGCACUCGCUUCGUACGUGGUGUAUGCUACAACGAGCGGGGUACCAACCGCUAUUCAAGGCGGUGUGUACGCUAUUGGAGCAUGUGGCUACGAAGGUUUUUACCCAACAUGGAUGGCAGCAUAAUCUCCGGCUCGGUCCACCAUCUCUUUCAACAUGGCAUAGUGUCGGUCUAUGGACUCUACUGUUGCCGAAUUGUCGGUCUUUUAUCUUUCUGUUUAUCAGACUACUGGUGUUUGGCUGUGUGCAUCCUAGUUAUGCAGAGGCCGGGUGA